rnacentral:tRNA from 1 species
GAGCGUAUAGCUCAGUGGUAAAGUGUGUGCUUAGCAUGCCCGAGAUCCUGGGUUCAAUUCCCGGUACCUCCA